AGCAGCCGCCGCGGUAACACGUAGGUCCCGAGCGUUGUCCGGAUUUAUUGGGCGUAAAGCGAGCGCAGGCGGUUAGAUAAGUCUGAAGUUAAAGGCUGUGGCUUAACCAUAGUACGCCUUGGAAACUGUUUAACUUGAGUGCAAGAGGGGAGAGUGGAAUUCCAUGUGUAGCGGUGAAAUGCGUAGAUAUAUGGAGGAACACCGGUGGCGAAAGCGGCUCUCUGGCUUGUAACUGACGCUGAGGCUCGAAAGCGUGGGGAGCAAACAGGAUUAGAUACCCCAGUAGUCCCUGUCUCUUAUACA
rnacentral:rRNA from 1 species